rnacentral:rRNA from 1 species
AGUGAACGCUGGCGGUAGGCCUAACACAUGCAAGUCGAACGGCAGCACAGUAAGAGCUUGCUCUUACGGGUGGCGAGUGGCGGACGGGUGAGGAAUACAUCGGAAUCUACUUUUUCGUGGGGGAUAACGUAGGGAAACUUACGCUAAUACCGCAUACGACCUACGGGUGAAAGCAGGGGAUCUUCGGACCUUGCGCGUUUGAAUGAGCCGAUGUCGGAUUAGCUAGUUGGCGGGGUAAAGGCCCACCAAGGCGACGAUCCGUAGCUGGUCUGAGAGGAUGAUCAGCCACACUGGAACUGAGACACGGUCCAGACUCCUACGGGAGGCAGCAGUGGGGAAUAUUGGACAAUGGGCGCAAGCCUGAUCCAGCCAUACCGCGUGGGUGAAGAAGGCCUUCGGGUUGUAAAGCGCUUUUGUUGGGAAAGAAAAGCAGCAGGUUAAUACCCCGCUGUUCUGACGGUACCCAAAGAAUAAGCACCGGCUAACUUCGUG